AGAUGAUCCAUGUUCCUGUUGGAGUCAGUGGUAGCAUUUCCAUAGAGACACUUUGCAUCAGCAGCUCCAUGCUCCAGUGCUCUGGGAGACUUUAUAGUCCUGAGAGUUGAAGACUGGAUGACUGACAGCUGUCCUUCAUCACAGCAGAAGACACACAAAUCCUCCUCCUCAUCAUCAUCAUCAUCCAAAACAUGACUGUGAUCUGCAUCCUCAUCUGGACUCUCCUCUGCUGCUGCUUCACAGAGUCCAGAGGACAGGUCACAGUGACUCAGCCUGGAGCAGUGAGCUCUGCUGUGGAAGGAUCUGUCUCCAUCUCAUGUACAACCAGUCAGGAUGUUCAUGGCAACAACUAUUUAGCCUGGUACCAACAGAAAGAUGGAGAAUCUCCUAAACUACUAAUUUACUAUGCUAGCACUCGAGCAUCAGGAACUCCAACUCGUUUUACAGGCAGUGGAUCAAACUCUGAUUUCACUCUGACCAUCAGUGAAAUUCAGGCUGAAGAUGCAGCAGUUUAUUACUGUUUGGGUGAAUUCUACAUCAACAGCAAAUUCUCUUUCACACAGUGAAAAACAGUCGUACAA